rnacentral:rRNA from 1 species
GACGAACGCUGGCGGCGUGCUUAACACAUGCAAGUCGAACGGGAUCCGGGCUUUCGGGUUUGGUGAGAGUGGCGAACGGGUGAGUAACACGUGAGUAACCUGCCCCCUUCUUUGGGAUAACGUCGGGAAAUCGGCGCUAAUACUGGAUAUUCUUGCUGCAUCGCAUGGUGUGGUUUGGAAAGGGUUUCUGGUGGGGGAUGGGCUUGCGGCCUAUCAGCUUGUUGGUGGGGUGAUGGCCUACCAAGGCUUUGACGGGUAGCCGGCCUGAGAGGGUGUCCGGCCACACUGGGACUGAGACACGGCCCAGACUCCUACGGGAGGCAGCAGUGGGGAAUAUUGCACAAUGGGCGCAAGCCUGAUGCAGCGACGCCGCGUGAGGGAUGACGGCCUUCGGGUUGUAAACCUCUUUCAGUAUGGAACAAGGAUCCUUCUUUUGGGGGGUUUGAGGGUACGUGCAGAAGAAGCGCCGGCUAACUACGUG